rnacentral:misc_RNA from 1 species
CCGAGUUUACAACUCCCAAACCCCUGUGAACAUACCACUUGUUGCCUCGGCGGAUCAGCCCGCUCCCGGUAAACGGGACGGCCCGCCAGAGGACCCCUAAACUCUGUUUCUAUAUGUAACUUCUGAGUAAAACCAUAAAUAAAUCA